GAAAUUGAAAUCGCUGUGAAGAUGCAGUGUACCCGCGGCUAGACGGAAAGACCCCGUGAACCUUUACUACAGCUUGGCACUGAACAUUGACCCUACAUGUGUAGGAUAGGUGGGAGGCUUUGAAGCACGUACGCCAGUAUGUGUGGAGCCGUCCUUGAAAUACCACCCUUGUAGUGUUGAUGUUCUAACGUCGACCCCUUAUCGGGGUUGCGGACAGUGCCUGGUGGGUAGUUUGACUGGGGCGGUCUCCUCCCAAAGAGUAACGGAG
rnacentral:rRNA from 1 species